CUGCAGAUGGGAUUCCUGGUCUUCGGGCUGUUGUGAUUCAGCUCUGCCAUUUUCUGCGAAUUAAGCCAAUUUAUAUGCAGUCAGAGUACAAAGCAUCAUUGAGAAACGACGGCCAAAAAAAAAGAAAGAAACACAAGCUAUGGAAAUUAACAAUUGAUUAUGAAAAUAUUCUUUUUUAAUUGCUGGGCGGAAUAUUGAAAUAUUGGAGGGCUGGCUGCCGCACUUCAUUAGCGCGCAAAAUUCGCAAUGUUCGGAAAUUGUUUCCCAUUAGCAAAGGAUGCAGCAUGUAGGGUAAAAACUCCCGGCCGCUAAGCCUUUAUGCAUUUGAUGGCUUUGUGACGUUGGAACGGCAGUCUUGCCACAUGUGGGCUGGCUUAUGAGCAAAACUUUUGGCCCGCACCAACUCGUUAGACAAAUUGAAAAUGUUGCCGUCAAUUGGCGCUUUAAGCAAAGCACAACAGUUUUCCGUGUUAAAGAGAGAACGUUUUUUAAUAAGGUUCCAACUAGAGCCAUUUACUCAUAUUUCUGUAGAAGUAAAUUCCCUUUUCAAGAGAAUUACUUAUACAACCAGUGGUCAAAAUAUAGGAUGUUUUUUUUCCAUGAACAAGAUAAUUGCUUUUGGUAUAAUAUUAAAGCUUAAAUAUAUACUAUCACCACGCCCAGCUACUAAGCCAUUCCCUUUUUCCCCGUCUCAUAAAUCCUCGGAGCAAGCAAAUUUGAUAUUCCUUGUAUCUUUGCAUCUCACAAACGCCAGCUGUCCGAGUCCUGCCUUGUUGCUCAUAAUUCAAUAUUUAUUUGCGCAUAUUAAAAAUACUUCUGCCAUAGAGUUCAAAGAGCAAACAGCGAGCCGACAAAUAUAUGAACAGAAACUUACUGAAUAAAUAUUUUUGCAAUAAAGAGCAUAAACUUACACAGACACAGCUGUGUGCGUGUUUGCAUGUCCGAAAAGGAGAAAAUAGUAGUCUGAAACUAGAAUUCACCGCAUGCACAUGUCAGAGCCAAGAUGUACUGGAUAGAAUCUUUUGUAUUCUUGACCAAGCUUAUUUAUUCUGUUGCAUGUUUGCCCUGCUUAAGCAAAGGACAAACAAAUGAAUCUCAAUUUUAAAAUAGAUUCCAUUUGCAGAGCCAUUCAAGUGGAAAUUGCACAGAGCAAAUAAGCGCUUUUAUACUCUUGAUUUAAAUAUUGGCCAAACCACUCGAAGCUUUGGUAACCAGCUAACCUACAAAAUUGUUACCUGACCGCAUCUUGGCACCCGAGAAAAUCUAAUAAGCAAAUGCCUGUCAACGAGCCUUCUACCUACGUACAUACAUAAUGCUGCUAUGUACUAUGGGUAAAGGCAAAAAAAGGAAUCACAUAAGAAGCCAUCCAGCGGCAAAGAAAACUUUUUGGGCCCCACAAAAAAGGAUGACAGCCCACAAGUAAGCCAACCAGCCAGAGUGCAGAGCACUCAUCGAUCCAUUAAAACCCAAAGUCUGCACACGAAAACGAAAAAUGGCAAAUGGCAGCAGAAGCAGUAGGAGUAGCAGGAGCAACAUCAGCGUCAGCAAAAGCAUCCCAAAAAGGACUCAAGGACUCGUAGGUGGAUGCGGCAUAUUUGCAGCUGCGGCCGCAGACCGGAGCGCCUGAUGAGGUUAAGCUGCCAGGGCAUGAGCACCAGGUAGUCAAGGUUGCCAUGCCAACGAGAGCAUUUGUGUGCGUUGCCCAUACGCCAUGUUGUGCGCAGACCGACAAGUGGGGUUUGGGUCGUAGCUGUGAGGGCUAUAAAAGCCGUUGCCAUGUACAGCCCGCCGCAGAGAUGUCUCGCCGUUGCCGUUGCCAGGUACACCUCUACAUCCAAUCGCAUCCUAUCCUAUCCUUUCCAUUAUCCUGUCAUGGGUCCUGGGCGACUCUCAAGUGGUUGCCGGCUUCAACAUUGUUUGCCCUGCCCCGUGCAAGUUGGCAAAACUGUUGGAAAAAGUAACAUUUCAGUCGACCCGGGAACUGAAGCGCUCAAGUGCCAAACAAGAUUUAAAGUUUGAUUAGUUGUAAAAUAGAAGAAGAGGGAUUAAAAAAUUCUGAUAGAAUUCUAUCUAAUACAUUUAUAUUUCAAAUAAAAUGUAUAUUUUACCCUUUAAUUCUCUUUAUGAACUGAAGCAAACAUAAGGGACAAUUUAAAUGUUUAAAUGUAUGAAAAUAUUUGUGGAUGUAUACUAAAAUAAUAUGAUUUUAAAUAAUAAUUUAGUUUACUCCUAUAUAUAUCUCUCAUCUAUAUCUUAUCUUAUCUUCUUAUAAUAUUGUUACUUAAAAAAGGUUUAAAAAUGUAAUUCGAAACUAAUAACAUUAUAAGUAGCCACAACAUAAAAUUGUUAUUUUUGAAAUAUACUACAAAAAGCACGGUUUUAAUAAAAUGUUGUAUUAUUUCCUUUUCCGAUUCCCCAAAUUUCUCUCAGUGUUUGCAAUGGCGCCUGCGCCAUUUGUCUCGCUGGAAAAAACAUGGCUGCGCUCACGGCCAACAGGCACUCGCACACAGGCACCGGUGCAGGUCCCCAAGCACACCCGCACACCCACACACACACCCGCACACAUCAGCUGAAGACAGACAAAGGCCAUUUCCCCUUAACAAAUGAGCAAAUACAGGCACACACUCACCCACACACACGUACACAGCGAGAGAGCAAUUUCUUCUCCGAAGUGUUUUGCUCACAGUCAUGCAAACGAUUUUCAACACAUUUACAAUUACUGUAAAUGUGUGCAAAAUUUCAGACCCACACCCAUACAUCCACGGCUUGCUCUGUGUGUAUAUAUGUACAUACAUACAUUGUGUGGGAGUGAGCCAUUAGGGAGUGGGUAUCUGUGUGUCUGUGUGCAAAGUGAACAUUCGAUUUUACCGGUUGUUGCUUUUUGCCGGCUUCUUGCCACCACUGGGGAGUGGCGGGAGAUGCGAAUGCCAAAAAAAUGUGGGUCGGGGGGCACAAUGGAGGGGCAGCGAACCCCAAGGGUUUUGGGGUUCAUACACCGCUCUCUGACUCUUUCUUCUCGUUGUUUUGGGCAUUUGAAUUCUCCUCCUUUCUGGUUUUUUUUCUUUUCCACUGUGGCAUGAUGUUUGCCUCUUGUCCUGUUUCGAUUUCUCGGCAAAGCCACUCCAGGACUGCGAUGGUCCAUCACCAUCUAUCUAACUACUGGUCAGGUCCGGGACAUCCCCACGGAAAUACGUUUGCAGCAUGCUGAUGCCGAGCGAUUUAUUAUGGCCAAGAUAAUGAUGCUUCUGCCAGCAUGGUUCAUUGGUGGAAAAAACAGCGAGCAUCAGUACAUGUUGCUCCACCAAUCGAUCUGUAUCUCUGCCAGUGUGUGUGUGCUGUGGGUGUGAGACCCUCUCUCUCUGUGGUCGUUGUUUCUGGCAUACUAAUGGCCGGCCAGACGCCAUUGGAAACACCAAUACAAAGGCACUUAAAUCGCAACGCGAUGGCCGCCAUUGUUGUGGCCGCGUUGGCGUGGCGCGAAAACAACAAAAGCGACGAUAAACGGGCACCAAAUACACUUUUCGACAAAUUUGACAAUUUUUAAUUUAAUAUAAAACUAGAUAGCACCUGUUUCAU